rnacentral:rRNA from 1 species
UCACACUGGAACUGAGACACGGUCCAGACUCCUACGGGAGGCAGCAGUAGGGAAUCUUCGGCAAUGGGGGGAACCCUGACCGAGCAACGCCGCGUGAGUGAAGAAGGUUUUCGGAUCGUAAAGCUCUGUUGUUAAGGAAGAACGAGUGUGAGAAUGGAAAGUUCAUACUGUGACGGUACUUAACCAGAAAGGGACGGCUAACUACGUGCCAGCAGCCGCGGUAAUACGUAGGUCCCGAGCGUUGUCCGGAUUUAUUGGGCGUAAAGCGAGCGCAGGCGGUUAGAUAAGUCUGAAGUUAAAGGCUGUGGCUUAACCAUAGUACGCUUUGGAAACUGUUUAACUUGAGUGCAAGAGGGGAGAGUGGAAUUCCAUGUGUAGCGGUGAAAUGCGUAGAUAUAUGGAGGAACACCGGUGGCGAAAGCGGCUCUCUGGCUUGUAACUGACGCUGAGGCUCGAAAGCGUGGGGAGCAAACAGGAUUAGAUACCCUGGUAGUCCACGCCGUAAACGAUGAGUGCUAGGUGUUAGACCCUUUCCGGGGUUUAGUGCCGCAGCUAACGCAUUAAGCACUCCGCCUGGGGAGUACGACCGCAAGGUUGAAACUCAAAGGAAUUGACGGC